rnacentral:rRNA from 1 species
GUCCUCAUGUUUUUAUUUGAGGUUUGGCCUGCCCGGUGAUUUUAAUUUAACGGCCGCGGUAUAUUGACCGUGCAAAGGUAGCAUAAUCAUUAGUCUUUUAAUAGGAGGCUGGAAUGAAAGGUUUAACGAAAAAUUAGCUGUCUCAAUUAUAAAUUUGAAUUUAACUUUUAAGUUAAAAGGCUUAAAUUUUUUUGUAGGACGAGAAGACCCUAUAGAGCUUUACAUUUAAUGUUUUGUUAUAUUGAUUUAGAUUAAUACUUUUAAUUAACUUUAAAAAAUGUUUUGUUGGGGUGACAAGAAAUAUAUAUUUAACUUUUAUUAUUAUAUUUUCAUUAAUUUAUGGUUAUUGGAUCCAAAAUUUUUGAUCAUUAGAAUAAGUUACCUUAGGGAUAACAGCGUAAUCUUCCCUCAGAGUUCAAAUUUACGGGAAGGCUUGCGACCUCGAUGUUGGAUUAAGAUAACAAUUGGGUGCAGUAGCUCAAUUUGUAGGUCUGUUCGACCUUUAAAUUCUU